ACCUUAGUGCGCUAAAAAAAAUAGUUCACCAAUGCAUCCAAACAGGCAAUUUUCACGAAUUUACAAACUGCAGCGGCCGUUAUGCGCUUGUGUAAUAGUGCACAAGUCAUCAAAAAUAUUGCAGUUAAUGUGGCUUUAAGCGUGUAUUCGCAUGUACCGAAUACACUCUCCAACCACGCGUGUAUGACUGCGCGGCGCGGCCGGCGGCGGCGCCUUGUUCCUUGUUCGCAUGGCGUUGGUUGAAGGUGGAGGUGUGCUGUGCAGGGGGGCGACGAGCUUCUAAUUCAAGUUGAAAUAGAAGAUCAGCUAUUUCUCCCUAGAAGAUGGCAGCAGUGCUAAAGAUGCCAUGCACAGAGAGCUCCAGCACAUUGUAUCUAAAAUGGUCGUACAGAAGUACAGCUGGGUUUCUGAGAGCAAAUUAGCAUUAAAAGCCUGGCAAAUGUGCUGCUGUUUCUCCUUGGUGCCAGACGUACCCUGUUCAACACAACCGACGCAGCUGUUUCGGACAUAACAAAAAGGUGGCUCAUGUUCGCUGUGGAUCAAGAAGGUGCACUUAUGCAAAGACGGCGUGCCACCUUGAUGAAAGACUCCAACAGAAGCCCAAGCAACACUUUAUAAUCGCAAGAGUUCAGGAAGGAAUAUAAAAAUGGCGUAUUGCCUUGUAUAUAUUCAGUGUAAAAUAAACCUGAAGCACCAGAAA
rnacentral:lncRNA from 1 species